rnacentral:lncRNA from 1 species
GUGUUUCUCAGAUGCCCAACGUGCACAGCACCAUACCCGCUCUGGGGGCUGCAAUCCUGUGUGGCUCAGCCCAAGGAAAGCCCAAACUGAAGCUUCUUCCUGACAGAACCCCCGGCCGGGGUCCUGGCCAAUGGGAUGUGCGGAGAUCCUUAGAACCCACCCCCUCCUGGACUUAGCGUUUGAAGGAAUUGUUAACACCGCGGGAGGACCCCAGCACGACCACCCUGUGCUCCUGCUCCGUCAAGGCCAGGAAUCUCUCAGUUGUCAGGAUCCAUAUCGGGCAUGGAAUGAGAAUAACUCUCCUAAAUCCAUGUUCCUUUUGGCUGGCAUUUCGUUCACCCUCACCUUAACCCUGAGGCUGCACUGAGCUGGGCAGGGUCUCUACCUUUAAAGCAUUGCAAGAUUAGGGUCGGCAGCCUCCUUUUUUGUUCGCUAGAAGGGACACGUUUGUUCUUUGAUUAACACGAAAUACAACAUCCAGGGUUAAAACGCAUCAGUGUUUAACAGUGGAAGAGAGCGACGGGUCCCCACUGACCGGAGCAUAUCAUUUAACUCUCCGGACCCUCGCAGUUCCAGGCCAGAUAAUGAAAACUCUGUUUUGUACUGGGAAGAUUCAAGGCCCUGGCCUCUUUGACAGAGAUUCUCAAUAGUUUGGGGUAAAGGCGUCUGGAGAAGAGUGACAUUUGAGGACAUGGGGAGGACCUCCUCUUUACAGAAAACAGCAACUGUCCCUGCCACGAUGAUGCAUGUUGCAAAGACCUACAUGACCACCAACAAAGAAGCUUUGUGCAGGCCCACGGGGUCCCCUUUCUCUUGUCCUUGCCCUCAUGGGACCCCUGGGUCUCAUACUGCUAGCGGGAAAGGCAGACUUGAUUUCACUUUCCUGGCUAAAAUUAGGGGAUCACUCAGUGUGCAUAGACAUCUUUCCUCACACUUUGCCGCGUUUUAAAAUUUAUGGGACCUUGCUGCUGUGUUAUAGACGGAGACACUGAACCCCAGUGUGUCUGUGGAAUCGCCUAGGAGCCCCGGCUCCCUAGGCAAGUCUGGUAACAGGAGAGGACAAAAACCUAGGCCUUUCUGUUUGGGACCGAAGCCAACGCUCUCAUUUGGAAAGAACCUUGGAAAAUGCCAUCAUGAGUCCCCCUGGCUCCCCCUAGAUUCUUGCGGGUCACUGCUCUUAUAGCCUGGAGAGCAUUUUGGGGACAGCUGCGGGCGAGAGCCUCAGCUCUCCUGCGGGACUGCAGGCUCCGGGCAAAGAUAAAGGUGGACACCGUUGCCUGCCCCAUUGCGCCCUCAUCCCGUCCCCAGCCACUCUUCCCAGGCUGGGUCUGACUCACCCGAGCGGUGCUGCACCUGCCGCGCUGGCAACCCUGGUCGCCUGGAGCGAAAGCCUGCACCCGCGGCCCUAACGCCCUGCGCCUGCGGGACAGAGGGCUGCAGGGCGGGGUGGGGCGAUGGCGUUCCCUCUCCACGGCCGACUCUGGACUUCAACCAGGGAAUUAGGCCAAGGGAUCAGGCAGAACUAGCUACGCGGAGAGAAGAAGGAUGGGGACUUUCGUGCGUGCCCCCGCCCCCAGUCCCGCAGUCUGCAGUGGUCGCGGUGGGGACUCCAGAGGGACCCGCACCGGGCAGUGACUAAUUCUACUUUGCCUUUCUGUAAAUGCAUUCUGUGAUUCCCUCCUUGUAAAUCUAUGCGCCAUAAGCUUCCUUUUUUAGUACUAGCACAGUUAUGCC